AGCAGAUCCAACUCCAGCCUGAGUUUAUACAGCAGCGCUUGCUCCCAGCAGCCCGCUGACCCGCAAGGCAUUACUACGCAGAAGUUUCUCUGGUGAGAGGUGCAUUCGACCCAGGAGCUCUAUUGCAGCUUUAGGAAGUGACCACUUCUCUGCAGACAUCGACUCACCUUCACCUACAGAAGAGGCAGAAAGACCGCCAACAUGACCACAUCUCGUCCCAUACCACGAGCUCAACCAGGCAGGCGGAUGGACAGAAAACCACCCCAGCAGGCCACGUUCAUGGCUGGUCCCUAGUGCUCUGAGGUGUCUUACACCAUCCGUUUCAUAACAUUACACUGACUUUUUACCUUCGCAGACUUUGUUUUUACCCAACGGACUCCCCGCUUUGUGUGUAACGAGAGACCGCUGGAAUGUUUUGCAUGGGUUUGAGCAGCAUGGCGCCUGUAGUAUCAAAGAGCAAUAGCUUAUGUAGUGCUUUACACAGCAUACUAUAUACACAGAUCUCUUUAUUUUCUGUUGUUGCCUGAUGUAGGGACGAUGUUCAGUCUGACACUGCGUCCCGAAGAAUAAAGCCACUGCCUUUGUAUCAGUUCCACCCCACAGUUAAAACAGAACCAAAAAACUGCUGUUUUAUGGUUUAGGCUUUAUGAUAAUCUGAGCUUUUGGGGUCCGUGUGAUUGUUUUGUGUAAGUGUGGCUAUUAUAUCCUCAGGUCUGAAGUGCUGGAAUAUUUUAGGGUCUAGAGUAUGGAUUUAAAGACCACAUGAAAUAUAUCACCCGUCUCCACUAGCAAAUAGCCAACUAGGCUAACGGUGGUAAAAGAUCUCAAGGAAUACAUGACUAUGCCUACAUUUCUUGAAAUGUGUAAAUAGCAAACAGAAAAACUGGAAAAAAACCUUGUUGUGGUCUGAUAUUGCUAAAUAAUAUUGUUGGUUAGCACAUUUCAUGGCAGUUUUAAAUUGAAAGGUCUAGUGUCUGGUGCUAAAUAGCUUGUUUGUCUCCAAAACAAUUAAAUGUAACUGUGGCAAUGUUUCAUUACGUUGGUGGCUGUACAUAUUGUGGCUUCCUUUUUAAUCAAUAAAAUCUAACAUAUAUUGUUUACAAAAGCAAAUGUGAGAUAAAAACCCAUUGGCUCAAGCAAAUAUGCCACACAUGGAGCUGAUUAUGUAUGCAUAUUCAU